rnacentral:rRNA from 1 species
CUACGUGCCAGCAGCCGCGGUAAUACGGAAGGUCCAGGCGUUAUCCGGAUUUAUUGGGUUUAAAGGGUGCGUAGGCCGUUUGAUAAGCGUGCUGUGAAAUAUAGUGGCUCAACCUCUAUCGUGCAGCGCGAACUGUUGAACUUGAGUGCGUAGUAGGUAGGCGGAAUUCGUGGUGUAGCGGUGAAAUGCUUAGAUAUCACGAAGAACUCCGAUUGCGAAGGCAGCUUACCGUAACGUUACUGACGCUUAAGCACGAAGGUGCGGGUAUCGAACAGGAUUAGAUACCCUGGUAGUCCGCACAGUAAACGAUGGAUGCUCGCUGUUGGCCUUUUGUGGUCAGUGGCUUAGCGAAAGCGCUAAGCAUCCCACCUGGGGAGUACGCCGGCAACGGUGAAACUCAAAGGAAUUGACGGGGGCCCGCACAAGCGGAGGAACAUGUGGUUUAAUUCGAAGAUACGCGAAGAACCUUACCCGGACUUGAUAUC